rnacentral:rRNA from 1 species
AGAGUUUGAUCCUGGCUCAGAACUAACGCUGGCGGCGUGCCUAACACAUGCAAGUCGUACGAGAAAGUUGGCUUCGGCUGAUGAGUAAAGUGGCGCACGGGUGAGUAACGCGUGGAUAAUCUGCCUUUUAGUUGGGGAUAACGUACCGAAAGGUGCGCUAAUACCGGAUAAUACUGAGUGACUACUGUUGCUUAGUCAAAGAAGGCCUCUGUUUACAAGCUUUUGCUGAAAGAUGAGUCCGCGUACCAUUAGCUAGUUGGUCGGGUAAUGGCCUACCAAGGCUACGAUGGUUAGCUGGUCUGAGAGGAUGAUCAGCCACACUGGAACUGAGACACGGUCCAGACUCCUACGGGAGGCAGCAGUGAGGAAUAUUGCGCAAUGGGGGCAACCCUGACGCAGCAACGCCGCGUGAGUGAGGAAGGUUUUCGGAUCGUAAAGCUCUGUCGAGUGGGAAGAAAUGUAUCAUGGCUAAUAUCCAUGAUACUUGACGGUACCGCUAAAGGAAGCACCGGCUAACUCCGUGCCAGCAGCCGCGGUAAUACGGGGGGUGCAAGCGUUGUUCGGAAUUAUUGGGCGUAAAGAGCGUGUAGGCGGCUGAAUAAGUCAGAUGUGAAAUCCCUGGGCUUAACUCAGGAAGUGCAUUUGAAACUAUUCAGCUCGAGUAGGGGAGAGGAAAGUGGAAUUCCUGGUGUAGAGGUGAAAUUCGUAGAUAUCAGGAGGAACACCGGUGGCGAAGGCGACUUUCUGGCCCUAUACUGACGCUGAGACGCGAGAGCGUGGGUAGCAAACAGGAUUAGAUACCCUGGUAGUCCACGCUGUAAACGAUGUUCACUAUGUGUUGGGGGUAUUGACCCUCUCAGUGCCGAAGCUAACGCAUUAAGUGAACCGCCUGGGGAGUACGGUCGCAAGAUUAAAACUCAAAGGAAUUGACGG